rnacentral:rRNA from 1 species
GCAGUCGAGCGGACAGAAGGGAAGCUUGCUCCCGGAUGUUAGCGGCGGACGGGUGAGUAACACGUGGGUAACCUGCCUGUAAGACUGGGAUAACUCCGGGAAACCGGAGCUAAUACCGGAUAGUUCCUUGAACCGCAUGGUUCAAGGAUGAAAGACGGUUUCGGCUGUCACUUACAGAUGGACCCGCGGCGCAUUAGCUAGUUGGUGGGGUAAUGGCUCACCAAGGCGACGAUGCGUAGCCGACCUGAGAGGGUGAUCGGCCACACUGGGACUGAGACACGGCCCAGACUCCUACGGGAGGCAGCAGUAGGGAAUCUUCCGCAAUGGACGAAAGUCUGACGGAGCAACGCCGCGUGAGUGAUGAAGGUUUUCGGAUCGUAAAGCUCUGUUGUUAGGGAAGAACAAGUGCGAGAGUAACUGCUCGCACCUUGACGGUACCUAACCAGAAAGCCACGGCUAACUACGUGCCAGCAGCCGCGGUAAUACGUAGGUGGCAAGCGUUGUCCGGAAUUAUUGGGCGUAAAGGGCUCGCAGGCGGUUUCUUAAGUCUGAUGUGAAAGCCCCCGGCUCAACCGGGGAGGGUCAUUGGAAACUGGGAAACUUGAGUGCAGAAGAGGAGAGUGGAAUUCCACGUGUAGCGGUGAAAUGCGUAGAGAUGUGGAGGAACACCAGUGGCGAAGGCGACUCUCUGGUCUGUAACUGACGCUGAGGAGCGAAAGCGUGGGGAGCGAACAGGAUUAGAUACCCUGGUAGUCCACGCCGUAAACGAUGAGUGCUAAGUGUUAGGGGGUUUCCGCCCCUUAGUGCUGCAGCUAACGCAUUAAGCACUCCGCCUGGGGAGUACGGUCGCAAGACUGAACUCAAGGAAUUGACGGGGCCCGCACAAGCGGUGGAGCAUGUGGUUUAUUC